UUCUUCUUCUUCUUCUUUAACAAGGUGUUGUUAUGGUAAUACUGGUAGCACAGAUAUAUGCUGGCAACCCAACUUUCCUUCCUUCUUCUUCUUUAACAAGGUGUUGUUAUGGUAAUACUGGUAGCACAGAUAUAUGCUAGCAACCCAACCUUCCUUCCUUCCUUCUUCUUCUUCUUCUUCUUCUUCUUCUUUAACAAGGUGUUGUUAUGGUAAUACUGGUAGAACAGAUAUAUGCUGGCAACCCAACUUUCCUUCCUUCUUCUUCUUUAACAAGGUGUUGUUAUGGUAAUACUGGUAGCACAGAUAAAUGCUGGCAACCCAACUUUUCCUUCCUUCUUCUUCUUCUUCUUCUUCUUCUUCUUCUUCUUUAACAAGGUGUUGUUAUGGUAAUACUGGUAGCACAGAUAUAUGCUG